rnacentral:sRNA from 1 species
UGAGGAGGAGGUAUCCUUUGUUUAAUUGCUGAUGAAGAUAGCAAGUGGAAAGGAAAUUUCAGGUCUGGGGGAAAAGAGAUCUGCUCACCAGGAGGAAAUGGAAGGGGCUCUUGACCUGACAGCAAGACUCGGAGUGCAAAAACAGAGCACAGGAUCUCCUCAGGCCGGAGAAUAAUCGGUGCUAGGAAAAGACCACUCAUUCCACAGCCACCCGAUGUGCGGGUGAUGUGGUCAUGGCAAACAAAAUAAAACACAUUUGAUAGACAUGUGUGUUUGUGUGCAUUUGCUCUGGCACAUGGAUACCUACACAAUCCAGGAAAAGGUGUUGGAUUCUCUGGACCUGGGGGAAGAGGUGGCUCUAAGAUGCUGGGAACUGAACUCCUGUAUGAGAGCAACAAGCCACUCUCAACCGCUGAGCCCUCUCUCCAGCCCCAACAACAGGGUUUUAAAAAUGACGGUGGGUGGCUCACACCAUCUGUAAUGGGAUCCGAUGCCUCCUUCUGGUGUGUCUGAAGACAGCUACAGUGUAC